rnacentral:rRNA from 1 species
AGGUAACGGCUCACCAAGGCCACGAUGCAUAGCCGACCUGAGAGGGUGAUCGGCCACACUGGGACUGAGACACGGCCCAGACUCCUACGGGAGGCAGCAGUAGGGAAUCUUCGGCAAUGGACGAAAGUCUGACCGAGCAACGCCGCGUGAGUGAAGAAGGUUUUCGGAUCGUAAAACUCUGUUGUUAGAGAAGAACAAGGAUGAGAGUAGAACGUUCAUCCCUUGACGGUAUCUAACCAGAAAGCCACGGCUAACUACGUGCCAGCAGCCGCGGUAAUACGUAGGUGGCAAGCGUUGUCCGGAUUUAUUGGGCGUAAAGCGAGCGCAGGCGGUUUCUUAAGUCUGAUGUGAAAGCCCCCGGCUCAACCGGGGAGGGUCAUUGGAAACUGGGAGACUUGAGUGCAGAAGAGGAGAGUGGAAUUCCAUGUGUAGCGGUGAAAUGCGUAGAUAUAUGGAGGAACACCAGUGGCGAAGGCGGCUCUCUGGUCUGUAGCUGACGCUGAGGCUCGAAAGCGUGGGGAGCGAACAGGAUUAGAUACCCUGGUAGUCCACGCCGUAAACGAUGAGUGCUAAGUGUUGGAGGGUUUCCGCCCUUCAGUGCUGCAGCAAACGCAUUAAGCACUCCGC